rnacentral:lncRNA from 1 species
UGUAAAUAGAAUGUCAUAUUCUUAAAUUGAAGGCCACGGUGAUAAAAAAAACUAAAAAAUAAAUAAAAAAUAAUUAUUGGGAUCCAGGACAAUAACUAAAUGGUAAUUAUAAAAUAUUUUAGCAAAAUAUAUAAUCCAUAUUUCUUUUUGCUAGUGUAAGAACUCAGUCAUCCAUGCAUGGUGUAAUUGUAAUAUCUUGAGUAUGAAACUCAUAUACUAUGGGUUGAGAACUCUAGACAAUCUACAUCUGCCUUCAAUGCACUCAUACUGUCGAACCUCAGUAUUUUCUGGGCAAUCAUUAUCAGUUAUACAAACAAUAUAUCCUGUAGUGAAAGAAUAUAUAAUAAAAUAAUGUUAGCAAUAUGAAAUAAAGAUUAUAUACAAACUAGUAACUAAAGAAGGAAAUUUGAAAAGAAUGGAAAAAAAAUUACCCUCAACAUUAUUUGCAACAAGAAAUAGGAAAAUAAAAAAAAUUAUGGCAUACACAAACUUAUAACUAAUGGCCAUA